rnacentral:lncRNA from 1 species
CCCUUUUUACUCUGUUCCGAAAGAUUUAACUAUGUAUACACCAUAGUAAUAAAUAAUAAAAUAAAAUGAGAAAAAAUCAAUCAACUUGUUUUCUCAAAAUUUGCAUAUGUUGUCUUUAUGAAGGAGAGGGAUUUAAAGGAGGUGUACCGGGUGGGGUACGUUAGAGAAAAUAAAUUACAAGCAUGGGGAGAAAAGAUGGAGGGUUUUUAGGAGAAACUCAUGGAAAGUGUUUUGGUUUUGGAAGGAAAGAGGGGAGAGAGGAAAUUAGAGAGCCAAGAAGAAGAGUGUUAAUACCUAUUUGUG